UGUUGUCACGGCGUUGUCACAUCACACAACGCCGUCUGAAUCGCGUGCAGUCGCAUAACGACGUCGCUGCGGUUGAAGCGGCUUAGGACAUUAAAUAUAGCCCCUCCACACACACCAGCACCAGCAGCAGCAGCAGCACACUAAGCGGGAUUAUGAGGAGCCGUGUUGAUGCGGGUAUGCACGAGAGCUGUGCGUUCUCUACGCGAGGCGACUGCUGUGUUGCCGCCGCCACUGCUGCUGUUGCAACUUGGAGGCAACCCGCGUCAUGUGUACAACCAUCGUGGUCAUCAGCACCCUCGUUUAUCUGGUGCGCAGGAGGUUCUUCAACAAAGUGGAGCCAUUCCAUGAAGAAUGCAAUUUAAGGGCCAAAGGAGCAGCAAAUGGAAUUGGUGUUCAAAAUGGAACCCCGCCUUAGCUGUGCAUCGACAACAUCCCCAGCAGCUGCCUGCGGGAGAGGUUCCGUCUGCGCAAGUCGCGGCUAGACUGACGUGAGGGGUGAUAAGAAGGAACGUGGUCAGCCGUGCGUGCUGCAGCCGCAAGUGGCGUGGACUUCGUGAACGUGAUUGAACUCAACACAACUCGCACGCAUACUUUAUUUCACAAAGGGAGUGUCAGUAUUGUGCUCUUAACCAAAUGGUAACGAAAGUAUAAAUAUACACACGCGCAACGAAUUAAAAAUAUACACGUAUUUUGUAUUAUCGUGAUGUAUACACAAAUAAACUGACAUUUUGUAGUAUUGCAUGAAUACUCUUGAUUAGUUAGAUUUUGCAUGACUAUAACUUGACAAAAUUAUACUGUAAUAAUGUUAGAAACAGCCUUAAUUGGGUCACACUGCAGUCUACCAUGACACCAAUCCCCUGAUGACUGCCUGUUACAUUGCACGCACUCUGCCCACACUUCAUACCCAAACCUACAUGCAAAUGCUGGUGGUUCUUUAAACCCCGUGGGCUCCCAUUUUUAGUUUUUUACCCCUGGGAUUUACCGUAAUAGCCUGAACACUUCCUCCAGUCUCACCAAUUCAUUAUGCUAAUAUGCUACUUAAUAUAAUUAACUUUUAAACAAUACAAUUAUUAUUUUGAUUAUAAUUUGGUCACCUCCGAUUAUCACGGUUUAGUUACGUACGGUGCAAAAGAAGUUCAAUAGACGUACGUGCGUGUGUCGUACAACUGUAUGUGCCCACUUACGGUUCCUGUUAAUAGUGUUGCUAUUCGAAUUUUUACUUUGAGAUGUGUAAAUGGUUGUCUAUAUUCAGUGCCAUCUGGACAUGAAAGCCUGAUGUAAACACAGGGGGUGGGAGGCUCCGGGUUCCUGAUCAUAUUUCACGGCUCGUCGGAUCACCGAGGGAAAGUCCUUGACCCUGAAAUUGUCCCAGAGGAAGGAGUUAAUGAAUGACAGAAAACGAGACCAGGCCAAAGGGUCCACCAGAGUCUCAGGCAAGCCAGCCACCUCCUCGCCAUUUCAGAUACAGCCAACGGGGUAGACUUGGCAGAGGGGUGGAGAUGGAAAAAAAAUAUGGCCUAACUUUGGUAAUGCUGCAUGGAAGAGUAGGCCAAACACCCUCGAGAGCGGCUGUCUAUAGCCCACUCUAGCGGGAGGCCCUUCCGCCAGCAGAGACACGAGAGCGCAAUUUCAGAAUUGCACCUUUAACGUGCAGUUGUCCACGUGCUUUCAGGAAGGGAAUUAAAGGAAGCAGUCACUUGAACUUGUAACUUGGUUUUUCAAUACAAUACUGGACUGUCUAAUCUCUCCUGUCAUAAUUACCAUAUGAUGUGUACACACGCGUCGCAUUUAAAAGCGAUUUCACUUUAUCAACAUCAAAACUUAUCCACGUCACCCUCAAACCAUCAACGGUAACUGUUGCAUCAAAAGACAGCAGCGAAGACGAGAGCGGCGUGUGUCAGUGACAAGUACACCGACGUAGCGGGCGUUAGCGCGGGUAAAGCGACGGGGCCUUGAAAUGCGUCGCCGUGAAUCACGCGAGGCUGAAUAAAAAAGGCCCUCGCCCUGCACAGGAGGUGCAAGGGAGGGCAUUGAUUGGCUGGCUUGUUAACCGCGCUGUUACUUUUAACUGCACGUUGUUACUAAAAGGUUUUUUUUUGGGGGGGGGGGGGGUUAG